rnacentral:rRNA from 1 species
GACGUAGGGCGCGAGCGUUGUCCGGAUUUAUUGGGCGUAAAGAGCUCGUAGGCGGCUUGUCGCGUCGACCGUGAAAACUUGGGGCUCAACCCCAAGCCUGCGGUCGAUACGGGCAGGCUAGAGUUCGGGUAGGGGAGACUGGAAUUCCUGGUGUAGCGGUGAAAUGCGCAGAUAUCAGGAGGAACACCGAUGGCGAAGGCAGGUCUCUGGGCCGAUACUGACGCUGAGGAGCGAAAGCGUGGGGAGCGAACAGG